GCCAUAUACUGCAUUGACAGUGGUGUCUAUCACGGAGAUUUAAAGCUCAACAACAUCCUGGUCAACACAGACACGAUGGAGCUGAAACUGAUAGACUUUGGCCUCAGCAAACUUGUGAAAGAUUGUGGGAGACAAGGCGCACCAUACAGUGGGCUAUGUUUUGCUGUUGGACAGACUGUGCAUGCUUUGGCUAUGUUAUUGUUCAACAUGUUGCAUGGACAUGUGUAUACAUGCAGAACCACUGUCAGCACUGCUGUGAUAUCCAAAGAGUGUCAAGACUUGAUGGAUCGGUGCCUGGACUCCCAUGAAGAAAAUAGGCCAACAUUGCAAGAACUCUUACAACAUAAAUGGUUCAAUGAGGAAUAAAGUUGAAGUAAACAGACUGUUUGCAAGCUAUGGAGUAGAAGCCAGCAGGAGACGUUUAAGUCGUCGUAAUCGUUCUGCAAGACCUCGCUGGAGCUUCACAAGAGUGCUCUGCUGCUUAAGUAGCCUGACACAGAGGGUUACACCAACAAAGUUUGAAAGGGAGGAACUGGAAGCUGCCGGACUCUGAGAGGGAAAAGAAACUUCAGAAGAUGAAUAACCAAGACAUCUGUCCUGUUCUCCUCACACAACACCUCAAUUUGUCUCCUUUGACCGUAUGUUUAAUCCACGGUCCAUUUUGAUUCGGAAGAGGCGCGUAGAGCGCAUGAUUUCAACAAC